AUAGCAAAAAAGGCAUAUUAGUUGUUUUCCUAAAGAAUUUCCUGCGUAGCUUUUUGUCUGGUAAUAUUACUCUAUUAACUAGAGCAUACAAAACAUUUGCUAGACCAAUACUUGAAUACAGCUCAUCAGUCUGGAACCCGCAUUACGUAUCUGAUAUUAAUACAGUUGAGAAAGUCCAGAA